rnacentral:pre_miRNA from 1 species
GUUUUGGUAUAAGUAUAUCCCAUGCAAUAUUUGGGUCAUACUUAUACUAAAA